GCGGACGGGUGAGUAAUGCUUAGGAAUCUGCCUAUUAGUGGGGGACAACAUUCCGAAAGGAAUGCUAAUACCGCAUACGCCCUACGGGGGAAAGCAGGGGAUCUUCGGACCUUGCGCUAAUAGAUGAGCCUAAGUCAGAUUAGCUAGUUGGUGGGGUAAAGGCCUACCAAGGCGACGAUCUGUAGCGGGUCUGAGAGGAUGAUCCGCCACACUGGGACUGAGACACGGCCCAGACUCCUACGGGAGGCAGCAGUGGGGAAUAUUGGACAAUGGGCGCAAGCCUGAUCCAGCCAUGCCGCGUGUGUGAAGAAGGCCUUUUGGUUGUAAAGCACUUUAAGCGAGGAGGAGGCUACUUGGAUUAAUACUCUUGGAUAGUGGACGUUACUCGCAGAAUAAGCACCGGCUAACUCUGUGCCAGCAGCCGCGGUAAUACAGAGGGUGCGAGCGUUAAUCGGAUUUACUGGGCGUAAAGCGUGCGUAGGCGGCUUUUUAAGUCGGAUGUGAAAUCCCUGAGCUUAACUUAGGAAUUGCAUUCGAUACUGGGAAGCUAGAGUAUGGGAGAGGAUGGUAGAAUUCCAGGUGUAGCGGUGAAAUGCGUAGAGAUCUGGAGGAAUACCGAUGGCGAAGGCAGCCAUCUGGCCUAAUACUGACGCUGAGGUACGAAAGCAUGGGGAG
rnacentral:rRNA from 1 species